AGAGAGUCGGAAGAACAAGAGAUGCCAUGGACAGUAUUACCAGGCAGAACCAAUUCUACGAUACCCAAGUCAUCAAACAAGAAAACGAGUCAGGCUACGAGAGGAGACCACUGGAAAUGGAGCAGCAGCAGGCCUAUCGCCCAGAAAUGAAGACAGAGAUGAAGCAAGGAGCACCCACCAGCUUCCUCCCGCCUGAAGCUUCUCAACUCAAGCCAGACAGGCAGCAAUUCCAGAGUCGAAAGAGGCCUUAUGAAGAAAACCGGGGACGGGGGUACUUUGAGCACCGAGAGGAUAGGAGGGGCCGCUCUCCUCAGCCUCCUGCUGAAGAGGAUGAAGAUGACUUUGAUGAUACCCUUGUUGCUAUUGACACUUAUAACUGCGACCUCCACUUCAAGGUGGCCCGAGAUCGGAGUAGUGGCUAUCCGCUCACAAUUGAGGGCUUUGCAUACCUGUGGUCAGGAGCCCGUGCCAGCUAUGGGGUCAGAAGGGGCCGUGUGUGCUUCGAGAUGAAGAUCAAUGAGGAAAUCUCUGUGAAGCACCUUCCGUCUACAGAGCCUGACCCCCACGUGGUCCGUAUCGGCUGGUCCCUGGACUCCUGCAGCACCCAGCUAGAGUAAUUCAGUUGAGCUCCUACUCCCAGACUGGACAAUGAAACCCAUCAAGCCCUUCAAGUUCUACAUCAUUAAGGGCUUCCUUUCACCCUUCCCCAUCCCUAUUUUAAAAAGGCAGCUGAUUAAUAAAACCAGUAAAGAAAAUGAUUUUUUUCUUCAAAAAGUAUGUGGCAGCCAUUGAGGCUGUUAUGACCAUCGCA
rnacentral:sRNA from 1 species